CCUACGGGAGGCAGCAGUGGGGAAUAUUGGACAAUGGGGGCAACCCUGAUCCAGCCAUGCCGCGUGUGUGAAGAAGGCCCUCGGGUUGUAAAGCACUUUCAGUGAGGAAGAACGCCUGGUGGUUAAUACCCAUCAGGAAAGACAUCACUCACAGAAGAAGCACCGGCUAACUCCGUGCCAGCAGCCGCGGUAAUACGGAGGGUGCGAGCGUUAAUCGGAAUUACUGGGCGUAAAGCGCGCGUAGGUGGCUUGAUAAGCCGGUUGUGAAAGCCCCGGGCUCAACCUGGGAACGGCAUCCGGAACUGUCAAGCUAGAGUGCAGGAGAGGAAGGUAGAAUUCCCGGUGUAGCGGUGAAAUGCGUAGAGAUCGGGAGGAAUACCAGUGGAGAAGGCGGCCUUCUGGACUGACACUGACACUGAGGUGCGAAAGCGUGGGUAGCAAACAGGAUUAGAUACCCUAGUAGUC
rnacentral:rRNA from 1 species